ACCAAGAAGACAAGGGGAUAUUUUCUUAAGUACACUACUAAACCCAUUUACUCCAUAAGUUUCUCUCCAUGACUCGAUCGCAGAGCACUCAGAGCCUCACUCACAGUGACACAACACAAGGUGCUCUCUCUCUCUCCUAGGGUUUCUCUGGGCAUAUUUCCUCUACAUUUCUUGGUGAAGGAAGUGGCAAAGCUUGUUAAAGCCUACCUCGUUCCGAAGCAGGAGAUUGAUACUUGUGCUGAAGAGAGAUUGCAGCUGCUGAAAAUCCAGGAAGAGAAGGUUUAGAUGAAGAGAAGGCACCUGCUAGAAGAACAAGUAUUAGAGAGGAAAUUAGAUGCUGCUCCUGAUGCGUUUAGCAUUAAAGCAGAUCGCGGUCAAGUCUGAUGCAGAUGCUGCCUGUGAGCUCUGAUGCUGUGACAGAGAACAAAAAUGCUACCUUUCGUAUAUUGAAAUGCUUCAUCUUUUCACUUUUGGUAUGGUUCUUUAUCUUGUAAUGCUAAAUGACAAGGCAUUAUAACAGUCUGUAUUUUAGGUGUGCAUGCAGUGGUCCAAUGGAGUAAACCGUCGAACAUUGUGAUCGGAUUUGAGAGAGAAUCGGACCCUCCAGAUCCUCAAAUGUAUUGAGAAUGAAAGAGUGAGCAUACUUGGUUCUCUGUAUCUCACCCACGAAAUAUUCUUGAAGCUCACAACAGGAAGACAUGUCUUGCUCUCUACAGAAGCUGGGAAGAUCACGACAGCGAAGGAAGCUAUCCAUCCCAGGUACAUUCUUGACUAGCUGAUCCAUUUCUUCGUUAUCUAUGCAGAAUGGAAAGAAAUGCCAUUAAGGAGUCUCCUCAUAAUGUUACCAAAAUUGUAAAAGUAAGAACUACUACAGUAAAAUUAUCACCAAAAUGAGGUUCUUGUACUUUGUCGUGAUGUUACAAACUUGAUUUUCUUUAUGUACAGUGAAUUUUCUA